CAAACCUCAGAAAGACCAAUCUCAGUUCGGAUUGUAGGCUGCAACUCGCCUACAUGAAGUUGGAAUCGCUAGUAAUCGCGAAUCAGAAUGUCGCGGUGAAUACGUUCCCGGGUCUUGUACACACCGCCCGUCACACCAUGGGAGUCGGAAAUGCCCGAAGUCAGUGACCCAACCGCAAGGAGGGAGCUGCCGAAGGUGGAGCCGGUAACUGGGGUGAAGUCGUAACAAGGUACC
rnacentral:rRNA from 1 species